ACACACUCAAGAAGCGGCUGCUGCAAACCAGAGAGUCAGAGACGUCACAAUUUUCUACUCAGCCCCAUCUUGUUUGGUGACUGUUUCCCAUGGACAUAUGAUUUCUUUGACACCUCCUCGUGCUGUAUCAGUACUGUCGUCCUCCUCAUCUUCUGAAUCAAUGGGGUAGAUCCGGCAUUCAGGUUGUGCAAGUGGCUCCACUCCAAGUGGCUGUACUUUCCCUCCCCCUGAAGUCACUGCACAUUUUGGGGAAAGGCUAGCAAAGACAGAUGGGGCAUUGCAUCCUCUGCGGAGAAGUCUGCUCAGUGAAAGAGC